UACAGAGGUCCCAAGCGUUGUUCGGAUUCAUUGGGCGUAAAGGGUGCGUAGGCGGCGCGGUAAGUCGGGUGUGAAAUCUCGGAGCUUAACUCCGAAACUGCAUUCGAUACUGCCGUGCUUGAGGACUGGAGAGGAGACUGGAAUUUACGGUGUAGCGGUGAAAUGCGUAGAUAUCGUAAGGAAGACCAGUGGCGAAGGCGGGUCUCUGGACAGUUCCUGACGCUGAGGCACGAAGGUCAGGGGAGCAAAUAGG
rnacentral:rRNA from 1 species